ACGCUGAUUACGUUGCAGCAAUGUAGCGUGGUCGGAGUGGCGCAAGGGUGCGUAACACGUGGGUAAUUUGCCGUGAAGUUGGGGAUAACUUGCUGAAAGGCGAGCUAAUACCGAAUGUGAUCAUUGGGAGGCAUCUUCUGAUGAUUGAAGUUGGGGACCGUAAGGCCUGACGCUUCACGAUAAGCCCGCGGCCUAUCAGCUAGUUGGUGAGGUAACGGCUCACCAAGGCUAAGACGGGUAGCUGGUCUGAGAGGACGACCAGUCACACUGGAACUGAGACACGGUCCAGACACCUACGGGUGGCAGCAGUCGAGAAUUUUUCUCAAUGGGCGAAAGCCUGAAGGAGCGACGCCGCGUGGGGGAUGAAUGGCUUCGGCCCGUAAACCCCUGUCAUUUGCGAACAAUGUGCAUUAUUUAAAAGAUGAUGCAUUGAUAGUAGCGGAAGAGGAAGGGACGGCUAACUCUGUGCCAGCAGCCGCGGUAAUACAGAGGUCCCGAGCGUUGUUCGGAUUCACUGGGCGUAAAGGGUGCGUAGGUGGCGAGGUAAGUCGGAUGUGAAAUCUCCAAGCUUAACUUGGAAAUGGCAUUGGAAACUACCUGGCUAGAGGUUUGGAGGGGGGACUGGAAUGCUUGGUGUAGCAGUGAAAUGCGUAAAUAUCAAGCGGAACCCAGUGGCCAAAGGCGAGUCCUGGACAACACCUGACACUGAGGCACGAAGCUAGGGGACAAACAGGAUAAAUACCCUGGUAGUCCUAGCUGUAAACGGUGCUGGCUUGCUGUAAAAGGAUCCACCCUUUUGUGGGAAACCACCCGAUAACCAACCCCCGGGAAGUACGUCC
rnacentral:rRNA from 1 species